rnacentral:rRNA from 1 species
UGGCGGACGGGUGAGUAACGCGUGAGUAACCUGCCCUUAGGAAAGGGAUAGCGUCUGGAAACGGACGGUAAUACCAUAUAAAGUAUAUUAACGGCAUCGUAGAUAUACCAAAGCUGAGGCGCCUAAGGAUGGACCCGCGUCUGAUUAGAUAGUUGGUGGGGUAACGGCCUACCAAGUCGACGAUCAGUAGCCGGACUGAGAGGUUGAACGGCCACAUUGGGACUGAGACACGGCCCAGACUCCUACGGAAGGCAGCAG